AUGAUGAAUUUAUUGUUAGUUUAAUAAAAAAACUUAUUAUAUAAUUAGAUGGACCAACAUAUUUCUCUAAUGAUCCUAAGAAUCAUCCUAGUGAUGACAUAUGGCUACAAAAGGAAGUUGUAAUGCUUUUCAAAUAAUAUAUAGGGGAUGUAGAUCUGGACAAAGCAGAAAGAAUCACAAAUACUUUCAAAAUUUAGUAUACUAGGGUCGGCCCGCCCUACGGGCGGGAUAUAAUUUACUUGUAAUCAAGAUUAUUAUUUUUAUAUUAUUUGUGGUUUGUGUUUUACUUUUACAUUUGCAAGAGAUGUAUAUGAGAUAUACUAUUUUCUUAAAUUUUAAAUUAAUCAAAAAAACGAAUUUUUACUAUUAGCAUAAUCUCUCUCUCUCUCUCUCCCUCCCUCCCUCUCUCUCUCUCUCUCUCUCUAUUAAUGCUAUGGACGUGUUAGUAACCAAAAAUACAUAAAUAUAUCAGUUAAAAAGUAUUUCAAAAUGUUUACCUUACUUGAAAUUUAAAGUGAUAUUAACUUUUAUUGUGUAUGUUUUGUUAUUUUUGUUAUAGAUCAUGAUCAUCUUAAUAUUAAAAUGUUCAUGAAUACAUAAUAGUUUUCCAUAUUUUCUUUGUUUAUUCUACUGUAAUUAUGAUAAUUUUGAUAAUAAGUAAAAUAAUUUUUAAUACAAAAAUCUUAGAUUAUAUUUUUUCUUAUGAAUAUUUUUAAAAUUUAUGUCUUUGAUAUUAUAUUAUUAAUUAUGUGCUAAAAUACUAUUUUAGGUUGAUGUCCAAUGAAACAUUAUUUUCAUAUAUAUAUAUAUAUAUAUAUAUAUAUUUGAAACUAUUUUUUUCAUAUCGUAUUAGUUCUAGUUGUUUUUAUCCAAAAUAGGAGGUGCGGUUGGACGAAUUUUCUUUCAAAUGUGUUAACGCUGUGAUUGUUUUUAUAUUAUGUUACCAUGUGUCAUUUGUCGAGAAGAGAGUACAUAUGUUAUGGGAAGUGAGUGUUCUAAAUAAGGCAUAAGUUAGUGUUUGGACAAAACUACAACGAUUCAAUUUCUUGUAAGAACAUGUUUAGUAUUCCACACUCAGCUCAUUCGUCCACCGUACUCAUUUUAUUGUGAUAUAUGCAGACUCAAACUUGGAAGUAUAAUAAGAAAAAUGCAUUCUAUUUAUAUAUCAAAACUUAGUUAAUUUUGGAGACACAGAAGCAGCCAAGUUAAAUAGAAUUCAUAAUCCAGUAGUCGGUACGUGAAAGAUGUAAUUGAAAUAUACUCACAAAUCACAAUCAUGCAUACUCACACAUGAUUAUAUAUCCAUAAGUGUAUGCACUAACUGUUGUAUCCUUGAGAUCAGGGCUACAACCUUUUAGGGAACCACAGUAAUGAAAAAUCAACACCAAGAUGUUGGAAAUUAUUAUGAGCUAAAGAUAAAUAUAUCUUUUUAAAAAAAAGUUCACUAAAAAAAGUCAUCUCCCUUCUUCUAUAUUCUUCCUCUUUUCUCUUCUUCUCUGUUUAUUCUGUUUCUCAUCUCAUUUUUUUUUUUGUUUCUUAUCACUUUUUUGUCACAAUCCGUCAAGUACAACGAUGAGCUUAACAAAUCUUUUUCAUCACCUUUUUGUGUUGUUUAUUAAGAGAAAUGAACUGAUGAUUUUCUUGGAAGAAAACCUUCUUAUUUAUAAUGGAGGAUUAACACAAAGAAAUGAAUGAGGAGAUUCAUUGAAUGCGAGAUCGUGUGAGAAGUAGAGAGUAGGUAUUAAUGUGAAUGUUAAUGAAGAUGCAUGAACCAAGUUAGUUUUCGUAACGGCUCCAGAUUAAAGAAGUCUAUUCGGCUUCCGACUGACAUUGAUCGGAAUCGUUCGUCACCGGUGAAACCGUUGGAUUUCUAUUGACAGUUGACUGAACGGGAAUUGUUGCUCGACGGCCACUUUCCCUAAGUUUCGUAUACUGUUUUUUUUUCUUUUUUUAGAGAAUAUGUAUUUGGACCGUAGUAAACACAUAAAAUCCAUUAAAUUCAAGAAUUAAGGAAACAUUGACUUUUGAUUGACCGUGACACGUGUCGGAUUCUCAAGACUCAAAUUAGUGACGUGUCCGCCUAUGUGGACAGCCUAGGAGUAAAGGAAACCCUUCUUUAUAUAUAUAGUAAGUAUACUCACAAAUCACAAUCAUGCAUACUCACACAUGAUUAUAUAUCCAUAAGUGUCUGCACUAACUGUUGUAUCCUUAAGAUCAGGGCCAGCAACCUUUUAGGGAGCCACAAUAAUGAAAAAUCAACACCAAAAUGUUGGAAAUUAUUAUGAGCUAAAGAUAAAUAGAUCUUUUAAAAAAAAAGUUCACUAAAAAAAGUUAUCUCCCUUCUUCUAUCUUCUUCCUCUUUUCUCUUCUUCUCUUUUUAUUCUGUUUCUCAUCUCAUUUUUCUGUUUCUUAUCAAUUUUCUGUCACAAUCCGUCAAGUACAACGAUGAGCUUAACAAAUCUUUUUCAUCACCUUUUUGUGUUGUUUAUUAAGAGAAAUGAACUGAUGAUUUUCUUGGAAGAAAACCUUCAUAUUUAUAAUGGAGGAUUAACACAAAGAAAUGACUGAGGAGAUUCAUUGAAUGCAAGAUCGUGUGAGAAGUAGAGAGUAGGUAUUAAUGUGAAUGUUAAUGAAGGUGCAUGAAUCAAGUUAAUUUCCGUAAGGGCUCCAGAUUAAAGAAGUCUAUUCGGCUUCCGACUGAUAUUGAUCGAAAUCGUUCGUCACCGGUGAAACCGUUGGAUUUCUAUUGACAGUUAACUGAACGGGAAUUGUUGCUCGACGGCCACUUUCCCUAAGUUUCGUAUACCAUUUUUUUUUUAUUUUUUUAGAGAAGAUGUAUUUGGACUGUAGUAAACACAUAAAACCCAUUAAAUUCAAGAAUUAAUAAAACAUUGACUUUUGAUUGACCGUGACACGUGUCGGCUUCUCAAGACUCGAAUUAGUGACGUGUCCGUCUAUGUUGACAGCCUAGAAGUGAAAGAAACCUUCUUUAUAUUUAGUAUAUAUGCUCCACGCCCACCCUUAACUCAAGCAGAAAAUAUAUUCUUGCAGUUGUGGAGCAGUAUCGUUUUUAAGUUUUUUCUUAGACUGUGGACCUUUGUUUUUCUUUCAGUCCCAUACUUUUAUUUUUCUAACAUUUCCUAUCUUUUUCCUUUUUCUGUAUGAUAAUUCAUUUUACAUUUAAAAUAAAAAAUAUUACACUACUUUAUUCUAUAUUAGUAUUUUAAUUUUAUUUUCCUAUGUCGAAAUCAUAUGAAAAUAUCUAUUUAUAUCAGUGUUUUUAAACCCGGACCGAACCGGCGGUCGGACCGGGUUGAACCAUGAACCAAAAAUAAUCCGGGUUGGGUUAGUGUUAAAACCCAACUAAAAUCGAACCAGUUAAAAACCCCUAUCAAACCGUCAAAAACCCGGGAACCGGUGACCCAAUGAACCGGCCAAACCCCGGUUCGUAUAUAAGCCAAAAUCUUGUUAAUGAAACAAUUAAUUUUCUUCCUCUUAAAAUAAAAAUAAGAUUUAUUAAAGAUUAAUAAAGUAUCGUCUCUUUUCUUUUUCUUUUGUCGUCUCUACAACUCGUAAAUUAUAAGAUUCACAAAGUUUAAUAUUCACGUCAAGAUAUUUUUUUUGUCUACUUCUCACUUUGUUUUAAUUUUAUUUCAUGAUCACUUGUUUUGAAGAUUUAAAUAAUUGAAACAUUUACGUUUGUGAAAUUUGUAUUUCAAAAUAUAACUUUUACCUAAUGUGUAUAUAAUUUUUUUCUUAAAAGAUGAUGAACAUUUAGAGUGAUAAAAUCUGCGAAUAAAGUAUAAAUGUGCUUUUCAUAUUGAUUUUAGAUUUUAAUUGUUAUUUUUAAGUUUUUCUAUACAUUAUGGCUAUUUAAACAUUUUAUUUGAUAUGAUCUUUUUUUUAAGAAUAUGCAUAUUGUUUAUAAAAUAUCAUUAAAUUUAGUUUAAUCUAAGUAAACCCGAUCGAAUCCGGUUCAGACCCGGUCAAACCACAAUGAUCCAUGACCCAAAAAAUUCUCGGUUCGCUAGCCGAUCCGGUUUUAAAAACAUUGAUUUAUAUAGUAUAAAAUGAUUAGUUUGAUAUAUUAAGGAUAUAAAAAUAAAUAAUUAUCUUAAAUAAUUAUAAUGUGUUAUAAGAUCCCGAAGUUAUAAUAGUCAAUAAUAACAUACAAUAUGGUUUUGGUGGUCUCUCUUUUCAUUCAAUACAGUAUUUUGAAAGACUUUACUCCAUUAAUAUAUUACUAUAUCUUAAUGAUUUUCAAGAAUCUAUUCAAUAUUACUUGAUAUUUUUUUUCAAGAUUUACUCAUGGAUGAUAUUACACCAUUAAUUAUGAUUUAUUAUUUCCAUAUCGGUUUUUAUUUUUAAUUAAUUUGUAGAUAUCUUACUAUUUCUUUUUCUAUAUAUGACUUGUUCUGUUCAAAAGUCUAAUUAAUUACUAUUUGAUCUUUUAUUUACAUUUAUUACAAAUUUUUUUUAUGCUAAAAUACAUUUAUUACAUCUUUUGAUAUCAAUAUAUAUAUGCAUUAAAUUUCUUAUAUACAUAUAUAUGAUGUUCACAAAUGCAAUACAAUUACAUCCAUUCAUUUCUCUUGUAUCACACAAAAUGGCUAAAAACACAAUUUUUGCUAUCUUUAUGAUCGUUCUUGUUCUAGGGAUGGGGAUGAAGGACACACAAGGACAACAAUUGUGUCAUGAACGAUUUAUAGGAGCAACCCCUUGUGUACCUCCACAGUGUGCCGAACAAUGUACUGCAAAGUGGGGAGAGAGAGCGGGAAGAGGGACAUGUCUAGGAGGGCCAGGACCCGCCAAUACCUGCCUCUGCACUUUUAAAUGCCAAAUUUGAUACUUUUUUUUGUUACUGUCAUCAGAUAUAUUGUAAUAAAAUAAUGGGUUGGAAAAAAAAGAAUAUAGAAUUUUUUUUUUUAGUUUAA